rnacentral:lncRNA from 10 species
GGAGUUUUGUCUACUGUGAUGAAACUGAGAGUAUUAGGCCUUGGACCAGCAGCACGGGAGAAGCUAUCUAACUAAGCAGGGAGCUGACACCUAGAGAACCAGGCAGUAGGAGGGAUGCCUGGUGGCCCCAGAGUCCCUGGUUUAAGUCAUUCCUGAGGCUGGCUGCAUUCUUGUCCAGCCAGUGGUUUGGAUACUGGAGUCAAUAAGUAAUCCCCAUACUCCCCUUUCCCAGAAGCCCGAGCAAAGCUGGCUCUGUACGCAGGAUGAGGGGAGGCUUGUGUGUGUGUGUGCGCUGUGGGUUCCUGAUCAGAAAGUUCUACCCCAUCUGAUGAGCCCUGGCAAAAAAGUCAUCAGAGAUGGUACUGAGGCUCUGAAAGCCUACGUGCUGGGGAGGAAGAUCCCAAGGAAGCAAUAAGUAACAGACUGACUUCACCUGGGCCCAUAACUCAUACCAAGGAACUAAUUCAACUGCUUCUGUGACUUCCACCCAGGAACUGACUCAACACAAGAAGACAGCUUCAACCCUCUGUAAUUUCAUCCCUGGCCCAACCAAUCAGCAUCCCCCAUUCCCUAGCCCCUUGACUGCCAAACUAUCUUUGAAAAACCCUAACCUUUGAGCUUUUGGGGAGGGUGAUUUGAGUAAUAAACUCCCAUCCUUCCACUUAACUAGCCCUGUGAUUAUUAAACUCUUUCUCUACUGCGGUACUGCUGUCUCAGUGGAUUGGUUUUAUCUGUACAGUGAGCAAACAAGAGCACCAUGGUUUCCAGAGCUGCUUCUGUUGCUCUUCCUCCCAAGGCCUAUGUUGUUAGCUAAAAGCCAUAGUCUCUCCCUGAUAUAGUUUGAAUAUAUGGCCCUGCCAAAUCUCAUGUUGAAUUGUAAUUCCCAAUGUUGAAGGUGGGGUCUGGUGAGAGGUAUUUGGGUCAUGGGGGCAGAUUGCUCAUGGCCUGGUAUUGUCCUUGUGAUAGUGAGUGAGUGCUCAUUAGAUCUGGUUGUUUGAAUGUGUGGCACACCCUACAAUCCACUCUCCCUCUUGCUCCUGCUUUUGCCCUAUGAUGUGCCUACUUCUGCUUUGCUUUCUGCCAUGAAUG